rnacentral:lncRNA from 12 species
AUGUGGCUCCAGCGUCCCCAUGGCAACAGCCCUGGGAGUCCUGCCCCCUCCCAGGGAACUGCCCAGAAGCUGCCCCUGCCCUCCGCAAGCCCCCGCUGGAAGCUCGCGGGAGCCAAGCAGAGGGCAGGGCGGGCCUGGCGGUGCUGGGGCGGCUCGGCGGGACCCGCCCCCCGCGCGUCAGCCGGUCCCGCGGGUGGACUGAGCCGCUCCAGGCUGCCGCCAGCACCACCCAGGCCUACUCCCGGGCCUGGCUCAGCCCGCGUCUGCGGCCAGCUGGCCCCGCUCUCCUGUGGGGCCGCCCCGAGACCACCCUCCAGAGCCGCUCAGGGCCGGGGGCUACCUGCCAACCCCACGGCUGCCCCACCCCGACUGUCCUCGGGCCCGCGCCCCUGCCAAGCCCCAACUGCCACUCCAGCUGCCACCGCCAACUGCCGCCCCAUCUCCAUUCCAAGUGCUCACCCCCAACCGUCCUUCCAAAACGCCGCUACCAACUGCCAGCACCCUUCCUUCCUGAGCCCCCUCCCACCUCCACCCUCAGGCCCCGCACCAGGGCUGUGCAUUCCAGACCUUCCCUCCGGACCGGGGCUGGGCCACACCUGCUGUGCUCCCGGAGGGGCUGGUGCCAGGGGGCAGAGGCAGGAAGCUAGAGGGGCAUCUGGGGGCCACGGGCCCAGCGGAGAGGAAAGGGUGGGAAGAAAAAGGCGCAGAAGUCGGAGGCAAGACGAGCAGAGGCGCCGUCCCCACUGCCAGCUGCAUGGCCAGGCCAGCUCGGGGGUGGGACUGCGGCGGGGCCCGGCCAGGGCAGCUGCAAGGGCUGCAAGGAGCCUCCCGGUCCUCUCUGACCUUGCCCUGGCCCCUCUGGGCAAUGGCCAGGGGCACGUAGCCUCCUCGCUCUCCAGGCCUCUGUCGGGGGGGGGUCUCUGGCCUCCGCAGACCCAGGUGGGCCCCGUUCCUGGUCUGGGCUCCCCACUGUGUCCCAUCCCGCCCCCCCUCCCCCCGCCGGGCACCCUGCACCAGCCCCAGCCCCUUUAUCACCCACCCCCAGGUCCAAUCCUUCACUCCUCUGUCCCCUCUUCCUUUUCCGUACUGAUGCUGCGGUCCCUGCGGUGGCAUCCUGUGCUCUGGAGAUGCUCCCCUGACCCUCGCACCCCACGUGGGGUUUCCACAGCCCCCGCGUCCCCCUGCGGGGCACGCAGCAACCACGCCAUCCGCACGGGUCCUUGCGUGGCAGGGCCAGGAGGCAGCUCUCCGUGCUGCAGGUGCGGCCUGGGCUGUAAUUCCAUCUCGGGCAGGCCCUGGAAACCCAUCCUCGGGGAUCCGGCCAGUCUGCGCCGAAGUGGGGUGCGGGGCCGGGGCCUCGGUCUCCGCCGGAGGAGCCAGCUGCUUUCUAGGGCUGCAGCCGCCGAGGCUCACGUUGCAGAGGCCGCGAUCUGCAGAUAG